UACGAGGGGGGCGAGCGUUGUUCGGAAUUAUUGGGCGUAAAGGGCGCGUAGGCGGUUUUGUAAGUCUGAUGUGAAAUCUAUGGGCUCAACUCAUAGCCUGCAUCGGAAACUGCAGGGCUCGAGUGUGGGAGAGGUGAGUGGAAUUCCUGGUGUAGCGGUGAAAUGCGUAGAUAUCAGGAGGAACACCUGUGGCGAAAGCGGCUCACUGGACCACAACUGACGCUGAAGCACGAAAGCUAGGGGAGCAAACAGG
rnacentral:rRNA from 1 species